AGAGUUUGAUCCUGGCUCAGGAUGAACGCUAGCGACAGGCUUAACACAUGCAAGUCGAGGGGCAUCAUGAGGUAGCAAUACCUUGAUGGCGACCGGCGCACGGGUGAGUAACGCGUAUGCAACCUGCCUGAUACCGGGGUAUAGCCCAUGGAAACGUGGAUUAACACCCCAUAGUACUUUUAUCCUGCCUGGGAUGGGAGUUAAAUGUUCAAGGUAUCGGAUGGGCAUGCGUCCUAUUAGUUAGUUGGCGGGGUAACAGCCCACCAAGACGAUGAUAGGUAGGGGUUCUGAGAGGAAGGUCCCCCACAUUGGAACUGAGACACGGUCCAAACUCCUACGGGAGGCAGCAGUGAGGAAUAUUGGUCAAUGGACGAGAGUCUGAACCAGCCAAGUAGCGUGCAGGAUGACGGCCCUAUGGGUUGUAAACUGCUUUUGCGCGGGGAUAACACCCUCCACGUGCUGGAGGUCUGCAGGUACCGCGCGAAUAAGGACCGGCUAAUUCCGUGCCAGCAGCCGCGGUAAUACGGAAGGUCCGGGCGUUAUCCGGAUUUAUUGGGUUUAAAGGGAGCGUAGGCCGUGAGGUAAGCGUGUUGUGAAAUGUAGGCGCCCAACGUCUGCACUGCAGCGCGAACUGCCCCACUUGAGUGCGCGCAACGCCGGCGGAACUCGUCGUGUAGCGGUGAAAUGCUUAGAUAUGACGAAGAACCCCGAUUGCGAAGGCAGCUGGCGGGAGCGUAACUGACGCUGAAGCUCGAAAGCGCGGGUAUCGAACAGGAUUAGAUACCCUGGUAGUCCGCGCGGUAAACGAUGGAUGCCCGCUGUGGCGCGCCUGGCGUGCCGCGGCUAAGCGAAAGCAUUAAGCAUCCCACCUGGGGAGUACGCCGGCAACGGUGAAACUCAAAGGAAUUGACGGGGGCCCGCACAAGCGGAGGAACAUGUGGUUUAA
rnacentral:rRNA from 1 species